UUAUUAUUGUUUUCUCAUAUUUUGCAAUUGUUAAGUUGGUUUACUUCGAAUUUAAUGUGCAUUACUGUGGUAUUUCUCCAGUUUUCUAAGAAGGUUGGUGAUUUUGAAUUGGGAUUAUGAUGAAUUUAACCCAAAGGCAAUGUGUGUGUUUAUUUAUGUGGCAAAAUUCCAGGCACCAUAAAAAUUUGAGUUUCUUCCUGUUGCCCAUGGAUGAAAAUCGGUUUGCAGAAUGAAAAGAAAUUGUUCAAUGUGAUAAACUUUCUAUGAACAGUCCUCAAUGUUGUUACGUUAACUUUUAAAUAUGCAUCUUGAGGAGCAGGCCUUUGCAGAAAUACUGAAAAGCGGGUUGCAAAACAACGCAAAAUAAAAUAAACGAAAUAUGUCUUGAGAUUAAACAUUCAAGUUGAAGGUGUGUUCUUUCUUAAACUGGAAUGAUAAUUUUGUAAUUCUGUAGGCACAUCUAUUGAGAAGUUACAACCAGUGGCAAAGUGCCUUAAGGGAAUCUAUGACAUAUAUAAUUGAAGGGACACCUCCUCUGAAGGAAUUACAAUUAUUUGCCAGUAUGUCAAAUGAAUUUUCAACAUCAGUCAUACUUUCAUGAAUUUAUUGAUGAAAAUAAAA